AUCCAUCGAAGUCGUCGGCACAUGUUGCAUAUCGCUCGCCCGCUCGCUCGACACUCGUGAGAACAGUCUGUUGGAAGACAUCAUGGUGUGCCGCAGCAACGAGUUCACCGGUGCCUCGUUCUUCGCCGUACCACAAGAGAGUGCAACGUCCAUCUGAAUUUGAGAACGUAGAAUGUUGUUAUGAUCCUCUCCUCUCUCACGAGGCAGCGAACAGCUGACAGUCCCCGGCACAGAGAGUCUGGAGGGCUCUCCGAACACAGGCCCCGUUAAUGCCGCGGGAGAAGGCGAGCUUCUUUGGACUUCAGGUGUAGCAAUAUGAGCGAAGUCUCUUUGAGUGUCCGAGGUUUUUCCUUCCGUCACGAACCGCCUCACCCCGUGCUCUGGAUGAGCCUCAGUGGACGAAUCCUGUUGACGACAGCUUGAGGCGGCGACUGAAAGACGCAGCCCCAAGCCUGAGAUUUCUCCUGUGGAGUGGAUACGAGUGUUUCCUUCCGAAGUCGUUUCGUUGCCACUAGUACUGCAGGGGAACGGCAUCAUCUCUGGACGGGAACGAGAAAGAGGGGUCCCACCUGGACAACACCCAGGUUCCCAAUCUAAAAUGUUACCAUCUCUGGUGUGUGUUCCGUUGGGCACGGAGGAAGCGAUCUCUGGGCCUGGAAGGGUAAUCCUCUGGACAGCUGAUCCCAUCUGCUGUUCUGUUGGAAUAUGCACAUUACCACAGUUGUAACGUGACAUCACCUCUGGAUGACUGACCAACUCUUCCCCGGCAAGGAAGGGGGAGUGUUGCGGAGGGUAAUCUACGGACCGCACUGGUGCCGCGUAACUGAUGGAAGAUCGUGAAGAGCCAUACGAUAGCCGAUGUGGGGAGAAAUGUGGGGAUGGAGCGGAAUCCCGGGGGGACACUGUGACUGCAUCCUGCUGCAGGCAUGUGGAUACGCCUGGCAGACGUAACGGCCGGUAUCCCAGUGUCUGCUGUUGACCUACGGAAUUCUGCCCCGACCGUACAGAAGGAAAAGACGCUGGCAUUCGAGGAGAACUAGCCCAAGGAGAUGGAGUUAAGGGACACAUAGGAGCGCGAUCUACAGUACUCCAGUGCUUUCCAAUUUUUCCGUCCCGUGAUGAUCCCUCGCUUCUGAUGCCUCGACGAUAGGAAUGCGUGGAGACUGACCCCGGCGACUCUCGGGAAAGUAACGAAGUUUUAUAUCCCGAACGAGGAGCGUCAGGUGAUAAAAGAGAGACAGAAAAUGUUGGCGCCUUGACCUGCAGUUUCCCUUCGAAAGACGAAGAAAGGCUCGGAGUUGAGGAUGAGACAGCCGUUGCGCUCCAUGACGACAAAGAACCCAGCGUUGCGGCGGCGAAGGGAAACGUAGAAAAAUCCGUACCACGUGAGAAUUUCUCCUCCUCCGAAGAGUCAGUGCUUCGCACGCUGUAUCUCUGUGUACAUGAGAUCGGAUGAAGAGAGGCAACUGUCGAUACCCGACUACAGGUGGUGCCUCUCCCCUCUUGUGCCUCAGCCACUGGUGGACACCUGGAAUCCAUUCUUAGGCGGAUUCGUUGAUGUCAGAGCACACUACGGCGUGACGAGCAAGGGGUUCUCCGAAACUAAAGUUAUCAUUCGCCACGAUAUUCGUAGAAAGCGGGGGUUCUCACUGGAGUAUGCGAAGUGUGAACAACAUCAGGCUCAUUCGCUGCGCUACUCAACAAAUGGGGACAGUCGCCAGACGUCAGGCAAAUGGUCCGUGGUAGGAAAAGAAUAAUACAGCCGUAUGUGGGAGCUUGGCAGUCUGCCUGCCAAAGUCGCACUGUGAGCCAAACGAGGACAUGAUUCUGAGUCGCAACGAAAAAACCGUUGCACAUCCUAUGCAGUUCUCCAUCGUCUGCCCACAUUUACGUCCAGUGGCAGCUGUGUUCAAGCAUGUGGACCAACUUCGUUAGAAGAAAAUGCCCUUGGAAGACAC
rnacentral:lncRNA from 1 species